GUUCACGUCAACGCGCUGACGUCACGCGCGUGCGACGCACCUGUCGGGCUCCGACUCCUGCAGCUUCUCUUCCAGUUCAGCGGGUCAGGGCUGGUCGCGGAAUCGCUCGGCUGUCACCUCGCCAGCUCGUUGCCGGUGCGCUCGGGGCGGGCCGUCCGUCCGUCUGUCCGGAGGAUGAGGCUGGAGUGGGCGGAGGCGUGAGAACCGCGUUACUUUCCUCCCGAGGUGGAGCGCGACUGCUCCUGUAGUCCUUGGAGAGCGCAGUGAGCCUCCAGUCGGGGCAGAGGCGGGUUGGUUUGAGGGCCCGCUGGAGCCGGAGGAUUGAACUUCACCCUGAAACCAGCCUCCGCCGGUCCCACCUGGCCGCCUUUACGUAACCUCUCCUGAAAGGCCGGUAGCAGUAAAGUCCGCCGGGGUGGCCACCCGGCAGCGGUGUCCCGGUGAAGCUCCCGGGGCGGCUGGCGCGCGAUCGCAAGCAGAUGCGGGGUCCACAGGCAGCGCAGCCACCAGCCGCCCAGCUUGCUAUGCCUCUGAGCUGCAAGAUAAGCAGACAGCUAAAUGGAGUCUGAGCAGCUGUUCCAUAGAGGCUACUAUAGAAACAGCUACAACAGCAUAACCAGCGCGAGUAGCGAUGAGGAGCUCCUAGAUGGAGCAGGUGCCAUUAUGGACUUUCAGACUUCUGAAGAUGACAAUUUGUUAGACGGGGACACAGCAGCUGGAACUCAUUAUACAAUGACAAAUGGAGGCAGCAUUAAUAGCUCUACACACUUGCUGGAUCUUUUGGAUGAGCCUAUCCCAGGUGUCGGUACCUACGAUGAUUUCCAUACUAUUGACUGGGUGCGAGAGAAGUGUAAGGACAGAGAAAGGCACAGACGGAUCAACAGUAAAAAAAAAGAAUCAGCAUGGGAAAUGACAAAAAGUCUGUAUGACGCCUGGUCAGGAUGGCUUGUUGUUACACUGACGGGACUGGCAUCAGGGGCACUAGCUGGAUUGAUAGACAUUGCUGCUGACUGGAUGACUGACCUGAAGGAGGGCAUCUGCCUCAGUGCAUUGUGGUACAACCAUGAACAGUGUUGUUGGGGCUCUAAUGAGACAACGUUUGAAGAGAGGGAUAAAUGUCCACAGUGGAAAACAUGGGCAGAGUUAAUCAUUGGCCAAGCAGAGGGCCCUGGAUCUUAUAUCAUGAACUACAUCAUGUACAUCUUUUGGGCUUUGAGUUUUGCCUUUCUUGCAGUUUCUUUGGUGAAAGUAUUUGCUCCAUAUGCCUGUGGCUCUGGAAUUCCAGAGAUUAAAACUAUUUUGAGUGGAUUUAUCAUCAGAGGAUACUUGGGAAAAUGGACUUUAAUGAUUAAAACUAUCACGUUAGUGCUGGCUGUGGCAUCAGGUUUGAGUUUAGGAAAAGAAGGUCCCCUGGUACAUGUUGCCUGCUGCUGUGGAAACAUCUUUUCCUACCUCUUUCCAAAGUAUAGCACCAAUGAAGCUAAAAAGAGGGAGGUGCUGUCAGCCGCCUCAGCUGCUGGGGUUUCUGUGGCUUUUGGUGCACCGAUCGGAGGAGUUCUUUUUAGCUUGGAGGAGGUUAGCUAUUAUUUUCCUCUCAAAACUUUAUGGAGAUCAUUUUUUGCUGCUUUGGUGGCAGCAUUUGUUUUGAGAUCCAUCAAUCCAUUUGGUAACAGCCGUCUGGUCCUCUUUUAUGUGGAGUAUCAUACACCAUGGUACCUUUUUGAACUGUUUCCUUUUAUUCUCCUAGGGGUAUUUGGAGGGCUUUGGGGAGCUUUUUUUAUUAGGGCAAAUAUUGCCUGGUGUCGUCGACGCAAGUCCACCAAAUUUGGAAAGUAUCCUGUUCUCGAAGUCAUUAUUGUUGCAGCCAUUACUGCUGUGAUAGCCUUCCCCAACCCAUACACAAGGCUCAACACCAGUGAACUGAUUAAAGAGCUGUUUACAGAUUGUGGGCCGUUGGAAUCCUCCUCUCUCUGUGACUACAGAAAUGACAUGAAUGCCAGUAAAAUUGUUGACGAUAUUCCUGACCGUCCAGCAGGCGUUGGAGUAUAUUCAGCUAUCUGGCAGUUGUGCCUAGCGCUCAUAUUUAAAAUAAUAAUGACAGUAUUCACUUUUGGUAUCAAGGUCCCGUCAGGCUUGUUUAUCCCCAGCAUGGCCAUUGGAGCCAUUGCAGGGAGAAUUGUGGGGAUCGCUGUGGAGCAGCUUGCCUACUAUCACCACGACUGGUUUAUCUUCAAGGAGUGGUGUGAGGUUGGGGCUGACUGCAUCACUCCCGGGCUGUAUGCCAUGGUUGGGGCUGCUGCGUGCUUAGGUGGUGUGACAAGAAUGACUGUGUCUCUGGUGGUUAUUGUUUUUGAACUUACUGGAGGCUUGGAAUAUAUUGUUCCUCUUAUGGCUGCAGUAAUGACCAGUAAAUGGGUUGGUGAUGCCUUUGGUAGGGAAGGUAUUUAUGAAGCACACAUCCGACUAAAUGGGUACCCUUUCUUGGAUGCAAAAGAAGAAUUCACUCAUACAACCCUGGCUGCUGAUGUUAUGAGACCUCGAAGAAGUGACCCUCCCUUAGCUGUUUUGACACAGGACAAUAUGACAGUAGAUGACAUAGAAAACAUGAUUAAUGAAACCAGCUAUAAUGGCUUUCCUGUUAUAAUGUCAAAAGAAUCUCAGAGAUUAGUGGGAUUUGCCCUCAGAAGAGACCUGACUAUUGCAAUAGAAAGUGCCAGAAAAAAACAAGAAGGGAUUGUUGGCAGUUCUCGGGUGUGUUUUGCACAGCAUACUCCAUCUCUUCCAGCAGAAAGUCCACGGCCAUUAAAACUGAGAAGCAUCCUUGACAUGAGCCCUUUUACAGUGACAGACCACACCCCAAUGGAGAUUGUGGUAGACAUCUUUCGAAAGCUUGGUCUGAGGCAGUGCCUUGUAACUCACAACGGGAUUGUCUUGGGGAUCAUCACAAAGAAGAACAUUUUAGAGCAUCUCGAGCAACUAAAGCAGCACGUGGAGCCCUUGGUGAUUAGCUGUGUCAGCUGUCCUCACUAGACACCCUAGAAGUCAGGAGGCAUGAAACUUGUGAACUGUUCAGGUCUCCCUGCCACAGUCCCACCUGCUGCCACUUACACUGGUGUCUGCCCAGAUGUCUGUGAGACAAAUUUAGAUAUACUGUCUAAAAUUCCAUUCUUAGAAAACGCCUCCUUGGCAUUAUAACAAAAAAAGAUAUCCUCCGUCAUAUGGCCCAGACGGCAAACCAAGACCCCGCUUCAAUAAUGUUCAACUGAGUCCUGUAGAUGAGGACAGAGAGGAGACAGAAGAGGAAGUUCGUUUGUUGAAUAGCACAAUUCUUUAAUCUGCGGGACUCGUCCACUUUUUUCUUCUUUCAAAAAAAAAAAAAAAAGGAAAUACAAGGCGAGCUUUGCAACCCGGUUUGCAAAUAAUGCUGGGAGAGCAGAGGGAUUGUUUGGGGAGGGAGAAGGGAAAGAGUGAGGUAUUUCCCUAGCUACCUGGAACAGUAAUUCAUCUCAUGUUGCUCUGCACCUCACUGGCUGCACUCCCUGAGGAGUGCAGUGGGAGUGCAGGCUUGAGCCUCCGCGGAGCCGUCCGUCUGUCCCUGGGAUCCUCGAGCGUCUGGCGGUUCCCUCAGCACCACAGAGACGCAUUACAGUCCCUACUUCUGGAGGGACUACUUUGAAUUGAGCCAUCUAUUAAGACUGCAAGGUCUUGCCCUUUUAUACCAGAACUGUUGUGUUAAACUCAUGAAUUGUAUAGUUACGCAUCACCUUUCUACAUUCCAAAAGAGCUUCUCUGUCCUCCCUCCCCCUUCCUCUGGAGCUGUAACGAAACCUCUCUGGUGUGUCCUUUUGAAGCAGUCCUUUCUCAUAUUGAGAUGUACUGUGAUUUUACUGACGUUUCAUCACAAGAAGGGAAUGUUUCUUGUGCCAUUAACCAUGUAGUCUGUACCAUCACUAAAGGCUUGGGAAUGUGUGCACACACCACUGCUGGCCAAGCAGGGAAAAUCUGGAGGUGUGAAUGCAAUCUCCCAGCUUGUGUGCUGUGUGGUUCAGAAUCUAAAACAAACUUGACUCUAAUCAGUUUUAUUUUUUCCUCUCAGACUUUAUGGAUAAUGUGACCUAGUCUUAUGCAAAUUUUCUAUUUCUGAGAUGACUACUAUGACAGAGAAGUGCUGUUCAGCAUAACGAAAGCAAGCGCUGCUGCCGUGACUGUAAAGAGGAGGAAGGAGUCUGUUUAGCUGUACCUGGUAUUAAUUGCAUGUUAAACACUGGAAUUUUGUUCUUCAAAUUAGAUCAUUCUUUUAUUUCAGGAUGUUUCACUGCUGACACUGGAGAUGAACUGUAAUUCAUAACUUGCACUAAAUGUAUAUUUCUUUUCUUAAAAAUUUACCAUUUUUAUUUAUAUUUUUAUGGAUUAAAAUUUAUAAAAUGCAGAUCAGUUAAUAUUGCACAUAAAUAAUUUUACCUUUUUAAUGUGACUUUUUUUAAUAGACUAAUUCUGACUUACAAAUAUGGAGGUAUGAGUAAAGAUUACCAUGGGCACAAGGGUUUAAGAAGAGGUAGUCAUGUCCGUGACCCAGAGUACACAUGAUACCUUCUGAUUUCUCACUGCCAUCUCCUGGCCUAUGCCCUUUGACCUGUCCAUCUUGACCACAAACUAGAAAGUUGAAAAUACCAUAAAUUACUAGUACUAGAUUAAAGCCAAACUUUUUUUUUUUUUUAAGAAAAAUCAAUCAAAAAUGAAAACAAGAAAAUCACAGUGUGGUUAUAACCUUUGAAUCACUGGGUAGGUCACAGCCAUCCCUGAAGUGUUCUGUGAUGAUUUCAGUAGAUAUGGUGCACGUUUUACAGAUUAGUUAUAAUGUACCUCAGAGUAUAAGGAGUUGUUAUUGGCAGUGUUUUAAUCAUGGUCUUAAUUUCCAACUGGCAAAGGGUGUUUACUCACUAGACUGCCCAGCUAGUCUUCAAGUAUGCAUUUUUCAAAGGCCAAAUGCAUUUGUGCAGACAGAUAUUUUCUGAAACAACUGGCAUGAGCCAUUUUUAAUAAAUAUGAAAUCACAUUAGGUCUGUAUGAUCUUGAAGACUUAGAAAAUCAGGAAGCCAUAUUCGAGUGAUCCAAAGUUCCCCAAAAUUGCUGUCUGCCAGUGAUAUUUUGUCUUUUUACUCCUGAUGGCAGAUUUCAAUAUUCCUCGUUGCUCUUUGGCUAAAUAGAGUGGACUCAUUUUUAAUGGUAGUUCUGUAGCUCUGAAAGUAUUCUUGCAGUAUGGAAGACACUGCUGGGGUAGGAACUCUUCAGCACUGCUGAUUGGUGGCUCAGCCCCUUCUGAGUUCCAGGUCUUCAAAGGAGACGCCAGUUUCUUUGUAGUUUAACGCGAUGAAACUGAACAUGAUUUUUUUUCCCCCACAUUUCCUUUUCUUUCAUAUUCUGGUUUCAUGACCCAUCUUCAGAGACUGACAUUUCAGGAUCCAUAUUAAAGCAUUCAUUUUCUUUGUUACAUUUCUCUAUCUGAUGUGUCUUACUGCUGAAACACAUGAAAAGUGACGUGUUUUUAAUGCGUUCAGAGGUUUGGAGUUUGUUUUUUCUUUCUUUUGGGUAUUACUAUCUGUUCUGUUUUUCUCUUUUCAUAAAGGUUUGGUUGAUUUCCAACCAAAUAAGAUAGUGGAUACCAUGAACUACAUGUGCCUAGCUAAUUGGCAAACUUAUUGACCAAUAUACUAAGUGCAGCGCCUCAUUUGAGUACCCUUUUUAGGAAGGUAUGAUGAAAAUGGGCGAGCGUGUCAGCAUCUAUUAAUAAUCGUUUUUGGUUUUGGUUCAUGAAGAAUGCUUAGUUUGUUAACCUGUGAUGUUGCCUAGAGCUGUAUUUAUCUGUUUUUAUUUAUACUAGUGUAGUAAAAGCUGCAUAUCAUUACAGUAAAAAUGAUUACUGUGAUGAGUUAAGAUCUAUUAAAAUCUCUACUUAAAAGUG